CUACAGGUUUAACACAUGCAAGUCGAGGGGAAACGAUAUUGGAAGCUUGCUUCCGAUAGGCGUCGACCGGCGCACGGGUGAGUAACGCGUAUCCAACCUGCCCAUCACUUGGGGAUAACCUUGCGAAAGUAAGACUAAUACCCAAUGACGUCUCUAGAAGACAUCUGAAAGAGAUUAAAGAUUCAUCGGUGAUGGAUGGGGAUGCGUCUGAUUAGCUCGUUGGCGGGGUAACGGCCCACCAAGGCAACGAUCAGUAGGGGUUCUGAGAGGAAGGUCCCCCACAUUGGAACUGAGACACGGUCCAAACUCCUACGGGAGGCAGCAGUGAGGAAUAUUGGUCAAUGGACGAGAGUCUGAACCAGCCAAGUAGCGUGCAGGAAGACGGCCCUAUGGGUUGUAAACUGCUUUUAUAAGGGAAUAAAGUUAGUCUCGUGAGACUUUUUGCAUGUACCUUAUGAAUAAGGACCGGCUAAUUCCGUGCCAGCAGCCGCGGUAAUACGGAAGGUCCGGGCGUUAUCCGGAUUUAUUGGGUUUAAAGGGAGCGUAGGCCGGAGAUUAAGCGUGUUGUGAAAUGUAGACGCUCAACGUCUGCACUGCAGCGCGAACUGGUUUCCUUGAGUACGCACAAAGUGGGCGGAAUUCGUGGUGUAGCGGUGAAAUGCUUAGAUAUCACGAAGAACUCCGAUUGCGAAGGCAGCUCACUGGAGCGCAACUGACGCUGAAGCUCGAAAGUGCGGGUAUCGAACAGGAUUAGAUACCCUGGUAGUCCGCACGGUAAACGAUGGAUGCCCGCUGUUGGUCUGAAUAGGUCAGCGGCCAAGCGAAAGCAUUAAGCAUCCCACCUGGGGAGUACGCCGGCAACGGUGAAACUCAAAGGAAUUGACGGGGGCCCGCACAAGCGGAGGAACAUGUGGUUUAAUUCGAUGAUACGCGAGGAACCUUACCCGGGCUUGAAUUGCAGAGGAAGGAUUUGGAGACAAUGACGCCCUUCGGGGCCUCUGUGAAGGUGCUGCAUGGUUGUCGUCAGCUCGUGCCGUGAGGUGUCGGCUUAAGUGCCAUAACGAGCGCAACCCCUCUCCUUAGUUGCCAUCAGGUCAAGCUGGGCACUCUGGGGACACUGCCACCGUAAGGUGUGAGGAAGGUGGGGAU
rnacentral:rRNA from 1 species